UACGGGACGGCAGCGAUGGGGGAAUAUUGCACAAUGGGCGCAAGCCUGAUGCAGCCACUGCCGUCGUGUAUGAAGAAGGCCUUCGGGUUGUAAAGUACUUUCAGCAGUGAGGAAGGUGGAUAUGUUAAUAGCAUAUUCAUUUGACGUUAGCUGCAGAAGAAGCACCGGCUAACUCCGUGCCAGCAGCCGCGGUAAUACGGAGGGUGCGAGCGUUAAUCGGAAUUACUGGGCGUAAAGCGCAUGCAGGUGGUUUGUUAAGUCAGAUGUGAAAGCCCGGGGCUCAACCUCGGAAUUGCAUUUGAAACUGGCAAACUAGAGUACUGUAGAGGGGGUAGAAUUUCAGGUGUAGCGGUGAAAUGCGUAGAGAUCUGAAGGAAUACCGGGUGGCGAAGGCGGCCCCCUGGACAGAUACUGACACUCAGAUGCGAAAGCGUGGGGAGCAAACAGGAUUAGAUACCCUGGUAG
rnacentral:rRNA from 1 species